rnacentral:rRNA from 1 species
AUUGAACGCUGGCGGCAUGCCUUACACAUGCAAGUCGAACGGCAGCACGGGUGCUUGCACCUGGUGGCGAGUGGCGAACGGGUGAGUAAUACAUCGGAACGUACCUUAUCGUGGGGGAUAACGCAGCGAAAGCUGUGCUAAUACCGCAUAAGCCCUGAGGGGGAAAGCGGGGGAUCGAAAGACUUCGCGCGAUUAGAGCGGCCGAUGCCUGAUUAGCUUGUUGGUGGGGUAAAGCCCACCAAGGCGACGAUCAGUAGCUGGUCUGAGAGGACGAUCAGCCACACUGGGACUGAGACACGGCCCAGACUCCUACGGGAGGCGGCAGUGGGGAAUUUUGGACAAUGGGGGCAACCCUGAUCCAGCAAUGCCGCGUGAGUGAAGAAGGCCUUCGGGUUGUAAAGCUCUUUUGUCAGGGAAGAAACACCGGCUCUAACACAGUCCGGGAAUGACGGUACCUGAAGAAUAAGCACCGGCUAACUACGUGCCAGCAGCCGCGGUAA